rnacentral:rRNA from 1 species
UACGUAGGGUGCAAGCGUUGUCCGGAAUUAUUGGGCGUAAAGGGCGCGUAGGCGGUGCGGUAAGUCUGUAGUGAAAUCUCUGGGCUCAACUCAGAGUCUGCUAUAGAAACUGCCGUGCUUGAGUGUGGGAGAGGUGAGUGGAAUUCCCGGUGUAGCGGUGAAAAUGCGUAGAUAAUCGGGGAGGAACACCCUGUGGCGGAAAGCGGCUCACUGGACCAGCAACUGACGGCUGAGGCGGCGAAAAGCCAGGGGAGCAAACGGG